GUUCACCCAGAUUGGCUACGUCCACGGAAUAGAGGAGUUCUCAUUAAUUGUGAAGGGUUUACACAAGUACAUAGGUUCAAGCUCUCCUUUAGUGAGUACAAGUGAAUGAUUUAGUACAAAUGACAUUAGGAAAUAUUGUGGGAGAAUGAUCUCGUAGCCACAAAACUUCUAAGUACCGGAGUGUGGUAUCGUCUUGACUUGCCUUAUCUGUCUCAUAGGUAGAUGUGGCAUCUUCUCUGGAAGUACUCUUCCUCCAUCCAGGGGUGGUAUCUGUAACUGGUGGAGAUGCACAAGGUAAUGCAUCAAUUUCACUUGAAGCUUACUUGUAGUUUCAUGC
rnacentral:lncRNA from 1 species